AUUGAACGCUGGCGGCAUGCCUUACACAUGCAAGUCGAACGGCAGCACGGGAGCAAUCCUGGUGGCGAGUGGCGAACGGGUGAGUAAAGUAUCGGAACGUGCCCAGUCGUGGGGGAUAACGUAGCGAAAGUUACGCUAAUACCGCAUACGAUCUAUGGAUGAAAGCGGGGGAUCGCAAGACCUCGCGCGAUUGGAGCGGCCGAAAUCAGAUUAGGUAGUUGGUGGGGUAAAGGCUCACCAAGCCGACGAUCUGUAGCUGGUCUGAGAGGACGACCAGCCACACUGGGACUGAGACACGGCCCAGACUCCUACGGGAGGCAGCAGUGGGGAAUUUUUGGACAAUGGGCGAAGGCCUGAUCCAGCCAUGCCGCGUGCAGGAUGAAGGCCUUCGGGUUGUAAACUGCUUUUGUACGGAACGAAAAGGUUUGGCCUAAUAAGCUGAGCUCAUGACGGUACCGUAAGAAUAAGCACCGGCUAACUACGUGCCAGCCGCCGCAGUAA
rnacentral:rRNA from 1 species